AUACGUUCUCGGUGGAAUCGGCGGAGAGAGAAAACCGAGUCGGGUGGGAGCCGAGCACGAGAGGCGUAUCCGCCCGAGAUUUCGCGUUUUCGUUUGUCCGCGGACCCGGGUGAGACGACCACGGUUGGUGAAUCGCUUGCAUUUCGCGCGAAGCUCGGGAAUCCGAAGCGGAACGAACGACGAAAAGUGACGCAGCACCGUAUGCAUCGCGCGUGUCGGUAAUCUCCUUUUCUCUCUCUCUUCCCCUCUCAUUCUUUGUCUCUCUCGCUCUCUCAUUCGCUCUUUCUUCUGUCUCUCCCUCUCCCAUCGGAGUGUCAAAGUUCCGAGACUACUUGACGUAUCCCGUCGUCGUAGUCUGCCGAUGUAGGUUACGAGGAGAGGAAAAACGAACGAUAUAUCGGGGUGCGAAUCGUGGAAGUGUGACGCGGCCGGGCGGCGACACGCACCUCCCACGGGGGAAAAGAAACGGAACGUCGUCGUGCACGGAACGGCGGUAUCGAGUGCAAGCGAGCGAACGAGCGAGGCGGGCGGGUGUAGCACGGGGGAGAGCGAGAGGAGCGGAGGAGAGUGAAUCGGUGCGGCGGACGGAGACCGUCAUCCGGGUGCUGUCAUAAAUGUGCACGUUCUACGUGGAUCGCGCGAUCUAUGCACGGUCGACGGGCCGAUCUGUCGGUGGCGAGUGCUGAUUGUGCCUGACGCCUCCCGCGGCCCCGGCCGCUCCAGCGAGUCGACGUUUAAAAUCGUCAUCGGUCGCGCGGCGUCGCGCCUGGUCGCCGCCGUUGCCGUCGACGUCGACCCGAGAAGCAGCUAGUCCAACGCGGCGUGCUACCUACCUAACGGCGUGCUCCUCGACAACGCAAAGCAGGUGAUCAUGGCGAAUCGGGGUACGGCCCAGAGGCCGAAUGGAGCGACACAAGGAAAAAUUUGUCAGUUUAAAUUAGUUUUACUUGGUGAGUCGGCAGUUGGAAAAUCGAGCCUUGUUUUAAGGUUUGUCAAAGGACAGUUCCACGAGUACCAGGAGAGUACAAUUGGCGCUGCAUUUCUAACACAAACCGUAUGUUUGGACGACACAACUGUAAAAUUCGAAAUCUGGGAUACCGCGGGGCAAGAACGUUAUCAUAGUCUUGCGCCGAUGUAUUAUCGUGGUGCACAGGCAGCCAUUGUCGUGUACGACAUAACAAAUCAGGAUACAUUCUCGCGUGCCCAAACAUGGGUAAAGGAAUUGCAGCGCCAAGCCAGUCCAAGCAUAGUAAUAGCAUUAGCUGGAAACAAGGCAGAUUUGGCAAAUAAGAGAGUCGUCGAGUUCGAUGAAGCUCAAACGUAUGCGGACGAAAAUGGCCUUCUUUUCAUGGAAACAUCUGCUAAGACCGCAAUGAAUGUCAAUGACAUAUUCCUUGCAAUUGCUAAAAAGCUUCCUAAAAAUGAACAAUCAGGAAGCGCAAGUACGAGUGGUCAAGGCCGUCGACUAGUCGAUUCAGAUGGGCAAAAAGCAGCAACCGGCAAUUGCUGCAAGUGAUUAUCUAAAUCCGUAUGUGUCUCACAAUAUAUUCGUAUCUAUAUUUUUACAUUACAUUUGAAUAUAUAUUAUCUUUAAAAUUAAUUAAAUUGAUGAGAGACAUUAUUCUACUGAUGAGAGAAAUCUGAUGAGAGAUAUAUGCCUAAUGAAUAUGUUACAAAUCAAACAUGUUCAAUGUAACAACAUGUUCACAUAUUUUUAUAAAGAUUAGAAUAUAUAAUGAAACGAAAGUGCGACCAAAAAAGAAGAACGGGGAAAACGGGAAUAUAUCAGUUUGAUAUUGCAUAGAAUAGACACAUCUGCACUUUAAAAUGCUUUUAGCAGAUUUUUGUAUUAGCAUUAUAAUAAUAAUAAUGGGAUAUCUGAGUAGUCAUGCAGUUUUCAUAGAGUAUAUUAUAUUUCUUGUUAUGUUUAUAUUUUUUAUAGCGUAUAAUUUUUUCUCUCGACUUUGCCUUCUUUAUUAUUUACUAAAGCAGUAAAGAUAAAAGGCAGGCUGGAAAUAUAUAGACAAAAAGAUAAAGAGUCUGAAUUGAAAGUAGGAUCACACACACACCACACGCGCGCGCGCGCGCGCGCACGCACACACACACACACACACACACACACACAAAAGAUUGUUAAAUUUAUAAUAUAUGCAGGAUAUAAAUGUAAUAUUGCUGUAUAAUAUUUAGCUAAACAUUGACGAUUCCUUGUAAUUAAAAGAUGGUUCACACACAAUUGUAUGUAAAAAGAUUCCAAAUUUUAUGAUGUUUUUAUGUUAAUAAUGUGUAUCUACACUUAUUUCUCAGAGAAUUUUUUUAGCAGUAUAUGUUCAAACUCUGUUUAAUACAUAUCAGUUUCAAUAUAAACAUCUAAUAUAACAAUUCUACAUACUCUUAAAAUAAUUCUUUAGCCAAAAUCUUAUUAUUUUAUUGAAUCGUCGCAUUCGAAGGAUAUUACACGGCUGCUAUUAAUCGAUCUUUUAAUAGCAAAUCUUUAAUAUUUCUUUUAUGUAUUUCUAUUAAGUUGAAAUAGCAUUUAUGCAUUACUGUGACAGCUUUAUUAAAGUCAGAGUUUCGUCAUUUGCACAUAAAAAUUGUAAUGUGUGUGUCUAAAAGCAUAAUAUUCUUUUAUUAGUUUCCUCUUAUUUUAUUAUAUAUUCCUGAUUAUAUAAUUCAAGUGCAUUCUGUUCAAAAUUUCGUGGAAAAGAAGUUAUGUAAUAUAAGGCACUAGAUAUCCCCCUUAGACACAUUGUAGUGUUUACAUGACACUAUAUAUUUAUAGAUAUUAAAAAUUUGUAAAGAUUUCAUUUCUUGUCAGAGGACACUAAUUUCUGACUGAUAAAGGUGCUACAAGAAUAUACGUGCAUGAUAUCCGUAUUGUGGAAAUGUUUCUUAUAAUUUACGAUAAUGCUCCUCAUUUUCAUGUGCAAUGAUUCGUAUCAUUGGAUUGUAUAUCUGAAAUAUUAUUUUGUAAUAAUAAUAUUAUAAUAAUGAUAAUAAUAAUAAUAGGUAAAACUGUUUAAAAAAUUGUUAUGAAAAAAAUUCUCAGGGUGCAAUCCUUGUCUUCAAUUUCUCAAUAUUGUUGUAUCCUAAUUAUAUAUUUAUUCUUAUUUCUAUUUUAAAAUGAGAUAUGAUUCUAUCUAGAUAUAUUCUGUUAAAACCACACAGGUAGGUUCUAUUUAUUCCUGUAUAGAGAAGUUUUUAAUAUUUACCAGACAAAAAUGUUUUGCAGUACAAUCUUGUGCAUUGUAGAUAUUCAACAAUUGUAAUACAGUACGUUAUGGAAUGUCGUACAUUGUGACUCAUUCUCCUUAUCAUUUACGUACAUGUAAUAGAAAAGAUGAUUUUUAUAUUAUGUUUGUAAGCUGUCUACUUUGCAUUACAUUUCAAAAUAAUUACGCGCUAUUAGAACAAUUAUUUACUACCGUUUUAUUUCUACAGAGGAAAUUAUUUGUUUCUCAGAGAUAUUCUUAAUUAAAUUAGAUAUGUACUAUAAUCUACAAAGUAAAGUACACCACGAGUGUGCUACAAUGAAUUUGAGAGGAAGACACACAACAGAGGGAAAAAUACAGAGUGGAAAGUGAACCGAGUGUGGGACAUUCGCAAAACAUUUUGCUCGAGUGAUUUGAUUAAGAGUCUGCGUCUUAAUGUAAUCGACGAUAUAUCAUCUAUUUUGAGUAUCAGAUCUAUUAAGAGGUGGUAAAAAAGAAAGCUCCCAUUUGUAAUUCUAGUAGUGUAAUGGGCGGUGUUCGUUAUAAAUAUAUAAAUAUAUAUAUAUAUAUAUAUACAUUAUAUAUUAUAAAUCAUAUAAGUAAAUAUGAUUUAUAUAUGUAAUAAGUAUAUAAAUGCUAAUGAUAAUAAAUAAUAAUAAUAAUAAUAAUAAUAAUAUAAUACACCGUUAAUAUUACCGUAAAUACUGGUAAAGUAACAGUACAUUUAAAACAUGCAAUGUCUAAUGAAUUUUUGGCACGCGGAGAUCUUGUAAGAUAGGAGAGGCUAUUCCUGCUGCUAUUACUAUGUAUUUCCUUUCUUAGUUGUAACACAUAUAACAAUUUCUUGCUCUAAAAUAUAUUGUAUAUUAAUUUUAUUGACAACUCAUAAUGAAUUAUAAAUGAUUACACAAAAAGAAUAAACUUGUGAAUAUUAUGA